GACGAACGCUGGCGGCGUGCUUAACACAUGCAAGUCGAGCGGUAAGGCCCUUUCGGGGGUACACGAGCGGCGAACGGGUGAGUAACACGUGGGUGACCUGCCCUUAGCUCUGGGAUAAGCCUGGGAAACUGGGUCUAAUACCGGAUAUGACUCCAUGACGCAUGUUGUGGGGUGGAAAGCCUUGUGCGGCUAGGGAUGGGCCCGCGGCCUAUCAGCUUGUUGGUGGGGUGAUGGCCUACCAAGGCGACGACGGGUAGCCGGCCUGAGAGGGCGACCGGCCACACUGGGACUGAGACACGGCCCAGACCCCUACGGGAGGCAGCAGUGGGGAAUCUUGCGCAAUGGGCGAAAGCCUGACGCAGCGACGCCGCGUGA
rnacentral:rRNA from 1 species